rnacentral:rRNA from 1 species
UACGUAGGGUGCAAGCGUUGCCCGGAUUUAUUGGGCGUAAAGAGCGUGUAGGCGGCCAGGUAGGUCUGCUGUGAAAACUCGAGGCUCAACCUCGAGACGCCGAUGGAAACCAUCUGACUAGAGUCCGGAAGAGGAGAGUGGAAUUCCUGGUGUAGCGGUGAAAUGCGCAGAUAUCAGGAAGAACACCCGUGGCUAAGGCGGCUCUCUAGUACGGUACUGACGCUGAGACGCGAAAGCGUGGGGAGCGAACAGG